rnacentral:rRNA from 1 species
AGAGUUUGAUCAUGGCUCAGAUUGAACGCUGGCGGCAGGCUUAACACAUGCAAGUCGAGCGGAGAUGAGGUGCUUGCACCUUAUCUUAGCGGCGGACGGGUGAGUAAUGCUUAGGAAUCUGCCUAUUAGUGGGGGACAACAUUCCGAAAGGAAUGCUAAUACCGCAUACGUCCUACGGGAGAAAGCAGGGGAUCUUCGGACCUUGCGCUAAUAGAUGAGCCUAAGUCGGAUUAGCUAGUUGGUGGGGUAAAGGCCUACCAAGGCGACGAUCUGUAGCGGGUCUGAGAGGAUGAUCCGCCACACUGGGACUGAGACACGGCCCAGACUCCUACGGGAGGCAGCAGUGGGGAAUAUUGGACAAUGGGGGGAACCCUGAUCCAGCCAUGCCGCGUGUGUGAAGAAGGCCUUAUGGUUGUAAAGCACUUUAAGCGAGGAGGAGGCUACUGAGACUAAUACUCUUGGAUAGUGGACGUUACUCGCAGAAUAAGCACCGGCUAACUCUGUGCCAGCAGCCGCGGUAAUACAGAGGGUGCGAGCGUUAAUCGGAUUUACUGGGCGUAAAGCGUGCGUAGGCGGCUUUUUAAGUCGGAUGUGAAAUCCCCGAGCUUAACUUGGGAAUUGCAUUCGAUACUGGGAAGCUAGAGUAUGGGAGAGGAUGGUAGAAUUCCAGGUGUAGCGGUGAAAUGCGUAGAGAUCUGGAGGAAUACCGAUGGCGAAGGCAGCCAUCUGGCCUAAUACUGACGCUGAGGUACGAAAGCAUGGGGAGCAAACAGGAUUAGAUACCCUGGUAGUCCAUGCCGUAAACGAUGUCUACUAGCCGUUGGGGCCUUUGAGGCUUUAGUGGCGCAGCUAACGCGAUAAGUAGACCGC